UUCCAGAAAGAUAGCACCAGCUGUGGGGUUUUUGUCAUGGAUGUGAUUAUGCACACCAUUUUUGAUAUUGUUGAUAAAAAAAUGUUUUACUGUGGAUCAAACAUAAUGCAUGUGCUUGUUUGCCUUUCAUACAGAUGGCCAAGAUGACAGUGAUGGAAUUUCCCAACAUUCCAAAGAACUUCCACAUUGAAUCAUCUUAAAGGUGUAUUGAAAAACUCAGAUGAGACAUGGCAGAAGAAAUUCUCAAAGAAUCAUAUUCAAGGGAUGAGUUCUGCUCCUUCUGUGGAAAUGUGGGCUGGCUUCAUUCUGUCAUUACUGCCCUUUGGAUACAGUGUGAAACCUGUGGAUGAUGGUUCCACACUGACUGCAUUAAGAUGACACCAUCACUGAUGACGCACAAAGACACCCAUUGGUACUGUGUGUUACGCAGCUAGAGAGUCUCUAGGUAACUUUUG